GGAGAGAUGGCUCAGUGGUUAAGAGCACUGGAUUCUCUUCCAGAGGACCUGGGUUCAAUCCCUAGCACCC
rnacentral:tRNA from 1 species